ACGAUUGACGGAGCGAAGCGACGUCAAAGCGUUCAUUAAAGUCGAGUUGGCUUAGGGAUACGUUCGUUGGGUAGGGGAGCGUUCUGUAAGCCUGUGAAGGUGUGUCGUGAGGCAUGCUGGAGGUAUCAGAAGUGCGAAUGCUGACAUAAGUAACGAUAAAGCGGGUGAAAAGCCCGCUCGCCGGAAGACCAAGGGUUCCUGUCCAACGUUAAUCGGGGCAGGGUGAGUCGACCCCUAAGGCGAGGCCGAAAGGCGUAGUCGAUGGGAAACGGGUUAAUAUUCCCGUACUUGGUGUUACUGCGAAGGGGGGACGGAGAAGGCUAUGUUGGCCGGGCGACGGUUGUCCCGGUUUAAGCGUGUAGGCUGGUUUUCCAGGCAAAUCCGGAAAAUCAAGGCUGAGGCGUGAUGACGAGGCACUACGGUGCUGAAGCAACAAAUGCCCUGCUUCCAGGAAAAGCCUCUAAGCAUCAGGUAACAUCAAAUCGUACCCCAAACCGACACAGGUGGUCAGGUAGAGAAUACCAAGGCGCUUGAGAGAACUCGGGUGAAGGAACUAGGCAAAAUGGUGCCGUAACUUCGGGAGAAGGCACGCUGACACGUAGGUGAAGUGAUUUACUCACGGAGCUGAAGUCAGUCGAAGAUACCAGCUGGCUGCAACUGUUUAUUAAAAACACAGCACUGUGCAAACACGAAAGUGGACGUAUACGGUGUGACGCCUGCCCGGUGCCGGAAGGUUAAUUGAUGGGGUCAGCGCAAGCGAAGCUCCUGAUCGAAGCCCCGGUAAACGGCGGCCGUAACUAUAACGGUCCUAAGGUAGCGAAAUUCCUUGUCGGGUAAGUUCCGACCUGCACGAAUGGCGUAAUGAUGGCCAGGCUGUCUCCACCCGAGACUCAGUGAAAUUGAACUCGCUGUGAAGAUGCAGUGUACCCGCGGCAAGACGGAAAGACCCCGUGAACCUUUACUAUAGCUUGACACUGAACAUUGAGCCUUGAUGUGUAGGAUAGGUGGGAGGCUUUGAAGCGUGGACGCCAGUCUGCGUGGAGCCGACCUUGAAAUACCACCCUUUAAUGUUUGAUGUUCUAACGUGGACCCGUAAUCCGGGUUGCGGACAGUGUCUGGUGGGUAGUUUGACUGGGGCGGUCUCCUCCUAAAGAGUAACGGAGGAGCACGAAGGUUGGCUAAUCCUGGUCGGACAUCAGGAGGUUAGUGCAAUGGCAUAAGCCAGCUUGACUGCGAGCGUGACGGCGCGAGCAGGUGCGAAAGCAGGUCAUAGUGAUCCGGUGGUUCUGAAUGGAAGGGCCAUCGCUCAACGGAUAAAAGGUACUCCGGGGAUAACAGGCUGAUACCGCCCAAGAGUUCAUAUCGACGGCGGUGUUUGGCACCUCGAUGUCGGCUCAUCACAUCCUGGGGCUGAAGUAGGUCCCAAGGGUAUGGCUGUUCGCCAUUUAAAGUGGUACGCGAGCUGGGUUUAGAACGUCGUGAGACAGUUCGGUCCCUAUCUGCCGUGGGCGCUGGAGAACUGAGGGGGGCUGCUCCUAGUACGAGAGGACCGGAGUGGACGCAUCACUGGUGUUCGGGUUGUCAUGCCAAUGGCACUGCCCGGUAGCUAAAUGCGGAAGAGAUAAGUGCUGAAAGCAUCUAAGCACGAAACUUGCCCCGA
rnacentral:rRNA from 1 species